UACGAAGGGUGCGAGCGUGUCCGGAAUUAUUGGGCGUAAAGAGCUCGUAGGCGGUGUGUCACGUCGGCCGUGAAAACCUGCAGCUUAACUGUGGGCGUGCGGUCGAUACGGGCAUCACUGGAGUUCGGCAGGGGAGACUGGAAUUCCUGGUGUAGCGGUGAAAUGCGCAGAUAUCAGGAGGAACACCGGUGGCGAAGGCGGGUCUCUGGGCCGAUACUGACGCUGGAGGAGCGAAAGCGUGGGGAGCAAACAGG
rnacentral:rRNA from 1 species